GAGACUUUAAGUCUCCUGAAGGAACGUUGAAGACGACGACGUUGAUAGGUCGGGUGUGUAAGCGCAGCGAUGCGUUGAGCUAACCGAUACUAAUGAACCGUGAGGCUUAACCUU
rnacentral:rRNA from 1 species